rnacentral:rRNA from 1 species
AAUUUUGGACAAUGGGCGAAAGCCUGAUCCAGCGACGCCGCGUGGGGGAUGAAGGCCUCCGGGUUGUAAACCCCUGUUGCGAGGGAAGAAGCCACCGCAAGGAUGGUGACGGUACCUCGCGAGGAAGCCCCGGCUAACUACGUGCCAGCAGCCGCGGUAAAACGUAGGUGGCGAGCGUUAUCCGGAUUUACUGGGCGUAAAGGGUGUGCAGGCUGCCCCUCAAGUGGUGUAUGAAAGGGCUCGGCUCAACCGGGCUAGGUUAUGCCAGACUGAGGGGCUAGAGAGCGAGAGCGGGACGUGGAAUUCCGGGUGUAGUGGUGAAAUGCGUAGAGAUCCGGAGGAACCCCAGAGGCGAAGGCGGCGUCCUGGCUCGCAUCUGACGCUCAGACACGACAGCAUGGGGAGCGAAC